UCCGAAAAGGCCAAGAGGAAAGACUAGGAUGGACAAAGUUCACGCCAGAACCUCUGAUAAAAGAGUUGUUCUUCAAAUGAACGAACGCUUCCAAGCUGUGUCGGACGACAGCAAAAUCAGUGCUGAACUAAGCAACUUCUUGGGGACACUUGCGAAGAGAUGUGUGUCCUUCACUUAUGUCAGUUGGCGUGAUGUUCCAAAGAGUUUAAAGAACACAAUGUGG
rnacentral:lncRNA from 1 species